GUACAGAGUCAAUGUGGAGGCUAUAUACAGGGGGUACUGGUACAGAGUCAAUGUGGAGGCUAUAUACAGGGGGGUACCGGUACAGAGUCAAUGUGGAGGCUAUAUACAGGGGGGUACCGGUACAGAGUCAAUGUGGAGGCUAUAUACAGGGGGGUACCGGUACAGAGUCAAUGUGGAGGCUAUAUACAGGGUGUUACGGUAUAGAGUCAAUGUGGAGGCUAUAUACAGGGGGGUACCGGUACAGAGUCAAUGUGGAGGCUAUAUACAGGGGGGUACUGGUACAGAGUCAAUGUGGAGGCUAUAUACAGGGGGGUACCGGUACAGAGUCAAUGUGGAGGCUAUAUACAGGGGGGUACUGGUACAGAGUCAAUGUGGAG
rnacentral:lncRNA from 1 species